rnacentral:rRNA from 1 species
UACGGGGGGAGCAAGCGUUGUUCGGAUUUACUGGGCGUAAAGAGCGUGUAGGCGGCCAGGUAGGUCGGUUGUGAAAACUGGAGGCUCAACCUUCAGAGGUCGACCGAAACCAUCUGGCUAGAGUCCGGGAGAGGAGAGUGGAAUUCCCGGUGUAGCGGUGAAAUGCGUAGAGAUCGGGAGGAACAUCAGUGGCGAAGGCGGCCAUCUGGGACAACACUGACGCUGAGGCACGAAAGCGUGGGGAGCAAACAGG